AUUUUUGCAGCGAAGCUGCUGCCGCUGGAACUGAACCGGGGGACUCAGCUGCGGGCGGUGGAUUGUUUCUUAUCCUUCCCUCCAUCGGCUCCACAGAGGAGCUGCCUUCUUUCCUUCUCGUGCCAAGUUUAAAGCCCACUCAUCUCUGAUGAAAGCACCUGCUGAUAUAGAGGAAACAUCUUGGAAGGCUGAGCACAACUUCCUUAAAUAGUCACCUGGACCAGCCAUUGAUUUGUCCUGAGUGAGAAAUGAACCUUUAUUGUAUUAUGCUAUUGAGAUUUGGUCACAACCACAGCAUUCCCUAGUCGACCCUGCCUAAUAUGACAGUACUUAUAGUUUGAGUCUAUAAUUGUUGAUUUCCUUGUUUGAGUGUCUCCCCACUAAUACCUGAGGUCCAAAGGGCAGGGAAUCCUAUCCUAUAUAAUAAAAGUGUGAUAUGCAAAUAAACCGAACAGUGGAACGACCGGUUGCUAUGAUGCGCACUGACCACCAGGGGGCAGGCACUCAACGCAGGAGCUGCCCCCUGGUGGUCAGUGCGCUCCCACAGGGUGAGUGCAGCUCAGCCAGAAGUCAGCUGAUGACUGGCGAGCGCAGCGGCGGUAGCUUAGGCCUAAAGGAACGAGCCUAAGCAGUCAGUCAGACAUCCCCCGCGGGCUCCCAGAUUGCAAAAGGGUGCAGGCCAGGUGAAGGGACCCUCCCCCACGUUGAGUGCAUGAAUGUCGUGCACCAGGCCUCUAUUAAUCUAUAAUGUCACUGUCCUAUCUCCAGCACCUAGAACUGUCCUUGGGAUGUAAUACACAAUUAAAAAAUGCUUGUUAAGUGAAUGAAUAAAUGUUCACUAAAAAUCAUCUCAUUUAUCUACCAGCCACUGAUGUAUGAUACUGUCUGAAUAAUAAAAGGGGAAAUGAGACAUGUACUCAAAAAGCAAAAACUGUUAAGUUUUCUGGGAGACCUGCUACAGUACUGAGUGUCUAAAGGAGGAAAAUGUUUUUCUGCACUGACUAUUGGGAGUGAGCACUGGGGUGUGGUGUUGACUAACUUAAAAAAAAGGUGAAGGAGGCAAAGAACUAAAACACAGAUGUCCUAUUACAUACUAGACACUAUACAAGAAGUUUAUAAAUGCUUCCUCAGUUAAAACGCACAAACACCUGGAAAGUGGGUAUGAUAUUUCAGACUUUACUGUUGAGAAAAUUGAGAGGGAUGGGGUUUAACUACCCCAGCCAAGUUCACACCCAGUUAUAACAUGGUAAAGGGCUAUUUGUGACUUAUCCUAUAUAAUAAAAGCCUAAUAUGCUGCGUCUGGCAGGCCAUUCAACCAAUCAAAGUGUAAUAUGCUAAUGAUAUGCUAAGGCCACUCAACUGCUUGCUAUGACAUGCACUGACCACCUGGGGCAGACAGUCGACCUGUUGACCAGUCACUAUGACAUGCACUGACCAACAGAGGGCAGACGUUCCAACCAGUAGGUUAGCUUGCUGCUGGGGUCCGGCCGAUUGGGACUGAACGAGAUGGGCCAGACAUGUCCUGGAGCCCUCCCACGUUCCCUCCCUGGCUGGCCAACCUCCUGUGUCCCUCCUUGGCCCCGACUGUGCACCAGUGGGGUCCCUCGAGCAUGGCCUGUGCCCUCUUGCAAUCUGGAACCCCUCGGGGUAUGUUGGAGAGCUGGUUUCGGCCCGAUCACGCAGGCACAAAUUCGUGCACCAGGCCUCUAGUGUCCGUAUAAAGUCCAACCCCAGGCUUGUUCCUAAGCAUCAUUUGAUAGAGCUUAUAAAUGCCUUAUACUAAAAUUGGAUGAGAUGAUCUUUGUGUUUAAAACAGAUAACUUACAGUCUACAUAAAAGUCUUAAAUAAGUCAGUGUGUCUUCAUAGAAACAGAUGGUGUUGAACAAACAGACAACUGGGAAGAAAGAGCAGGCACGACCUUCCAUCACAUAGCAUACACUCUAUUUGUACCACAGGCCUGAUGGUGAAUUAUAUGUGUCAACAUGGCUGGGCUAUGGUACCCAGUUGUUUAAUCAAACAGUAAUCUAGACAUUGUUGUAAGGUAUUUCUUUUAGGUGUCAUUAACAUUUAAAAAAUCAGUAGACUUUGAGUAAAGCAGAUUAUUCUCCGUAAUGUGUGUGGGCCUCCUUCAAACAGUGUGAGGGUUUAAGAACAAAGACUGAGAUCUUUUAAGAAGAAAGAAGUGCUAUCACCAGAAUGCCUUUGGCCUCAGGACUCAAUAUCAACUCUUUCCUGAGUCUCCAGCCUGCCAACAAUAACCUGCAUUUUUUUUGGAUUUGAUAGCCCAACAAUCACAUGUGCCAAUUCCUUAAAAUAAAUCUCUGUGUAUACACACACACACACACACACCUUACUUAUUGCAGUUCCCCAGAGAACCCUAACACAAUAGGUUAAUAAAAUAAGGAGAAUAUGGUAGCAAUGAAGUUCAGUGAAAUGGGAACUCAUACAUUCCUAAUACAUGUCUAUAAUGCUUUUUAAUACAGCUUAACAAAAUAUAUAGCCUUAAAAGUCUUUGUCCUUGUAAACCAGUAAUAUUAGUUAUAUGAAUCUAAAACAGGUCAUUAGAAGUUGAAGAAUAGGAAAUUAGAAAAACCUGAAUUUCCAACUCAAGUUCAUUAAAUAAACUCACUAUAAAAUAUGAUUCAACAAUUAAAGUGAUACGGAGAAAGAUUUUCACAAUUUGGCAAAUGCUUAAGUUGAAUAGCUAAUGAAAAAAAAAUGAGAACACAUCAUUAUAUAUGCUCUCAACAAUGAAAUAUAAACACACACAAGAGAAUAGGAGAACAACAGUAGGACCUUUUCUCUGUGAUGGGGUUAGUAGCAAUUUUAUUUCUCUCUCCCUCUCUCUCUCUUUUUUUAAAUAAUCACCUGAGGAUAUUUUUUUUCUUUUAGUGAUAGUGGAAGGGAGGGAGGAAGCAGGAGUGGAGAGGGAGGAGAGAAACAACGAUGUGAGAGAGACACAUCGAUUGGUUGCCUCCUGCACAUGCCCCAACCAGAGCUGGGGUUAAACCUGAAACCCAGUUACAUGCCCUUGACCCAGAAUCAAACCCGAGACCCUUGGUUGCACACGCCAGUGCUCUAACCACUUAGCAACAUCACCCAGGGCUUGCUUCUCUUUUUGAUAAAUACCGACAUUUUCCAAUUUGUCCCAAAAUGAGUAUAUAUUUUAUUAUUUUAAAUAGAUAUUAUUUCAAAAUACAUUUUAAUAAGUAUAUUUCUAGGUAUGUUUUUUAUUAUUAGCUGACAAGAAAUGUUUAAACAACCAGAGGUGACAGUAUCAAAAUAAAUUGCAGUGUAUUUUAAGUAGCCAUUUCCUUCUGACCUGGAUCAGACAUCAAUUUAAGAAAAGUGUAAAUCUUUCUUUAAAAUCUAGGAGCAUUAAUUCUACAUCAAAAAAUGUCAAAACUCUCAUGUAAGACCCCAAAACAAGCAUCCUCAUUGAAUGAAAGAAUAACAGCUAUCAAUGACAUAUCUUUGAAAAGAUUUUUAAAAAAAACUGCAUAAGAAUCCAAGACUUUCAUUUUUAACAUAAACUAAUUCUGUCUUUGUGCUUCUGAGUUUCUCAUAAAGUUAUUUGUAAAAUAAUAUGAAUGUACCCCUGCCAGCUUGUUUUACAAUAUGUUGUAGGAAUAGAGACUUUAUUUUUGUCUAUCUUUAUGUCUUCCUCUAUAUUUCCAUGCAAAGAGUUCCACUAUUUGCCCUCCACUGAGCCAAUUUUGUCCCAAUGUAGCUGCUCAAUUCGAAUGGCCCUUCUCACCAGCUCACCUUCUGCCAGGCCUUGGUGCCAUCAUUGAACCAGAGCUUUGGAAAACACUAACUGAAAGUCUCAAAGUGGGAAAAGAUGAAUGGCUGCUUUGUCCCAUGGAAAACGUAUUUUUCUAAAGGAAUAUUAUCACUUUGUAUUGACCGUCCAGCUUCCCGCUGUCAAUAGCUAAGCAAGUUGGAUCGAUAGGACCAGAUGUGAUCGGCUGAAGUGAUUCUUUUCCCUAGAAAAAUCCAGACAUGCACAAGUCCAGUCUGAAAGCUACUACUGAAUGGAAUUGCCAGCUAAAAUAUAAGACCUCCAGUGAAAUUUGAAGUUCAGACACAUUUUCAUAUAAGUAUGUCCCAAGUAUUGCGUAUGGCAUGACUCCUGAACUAUUGGGGCCAUCCUUAUAGAAAGUAUGUUUUUAAUAUAUAUAUAUAUAUUUGUAUUAAUUUCAGAGAGGAAGAGAGAGGGAGAAAUAGAAACAUCGGUGAUGAGAGGGAAUCAUUGAUUGGCUGCCUCCUGCACACCCCCUACUGGGGAUCAAGCCCACAAUCCGGGCAUGUGCCCUUGACUAGAAUCAAACCCGGGACCCUUCAGUCUGCAGGCUGACGUUCUAGCCACUGAACCAAACCGGCUGGGGCCUUAUAGAAAGUAUUUAUUGCUUGUGUGAGAUGCCAAUUUAGCUGGGUGUUCUGUGUGUUUAUUUCCUAAAUAUGGCCAGCCUGCUCCUAAUGGAUGCACCAAAACACUUUACAGGCCUUUCAGGGGGGCACAAGAAUGGGGAGAAUUCAAAUUGAAUGACAACUAUCCACACUUAACAUUUUCAAUCCUCUUUAUACACCAACCAGGUGAACCCAAAAGUCCCCAAAGGAAGUCUCCCUUAAGAGAGUUCAGCCACAGUCAUGUCUCUCUAUAUGAAUCCAUACAGUUUUCCAGGAGCUGUUUUCAUUGUCAUUGUAAACUUGUUUCUGUUUUUGUUUGUUUGUUUGUUUGUUUUUAACAUGAGGGGAAACAAUCCGUUUUUCUAAAACUGUAAUUCACCACAGUAAAGUGCCUGUGAAGAAUGACAAACGCCCCGAUCCCCAUCUCUGUUAUCAGAAAAGUCCAAUUUAGAGAACCAGACAAUUGUGCAAAACACAAGAGGACAGGAGCCGAAGGGCAGUGCUCCCCAAAGUGUGUUCCCCGGACCAGCGCUGCCCCGCAGACUCUCACAUGCACCAGCAAGUGCGGGGAUCUGGAUUACAUGCUCAGCAACUUUCUAGUAACUUGUCAGAAGAAUUGUAUGUCUCUUGUGUCUAAAUAAUAAAAGUUUGGACUUGUAUUUUAAAAA